rnacentral:tRNA from 1 species
GCGCUGGUAGUCCAGUCUGGUCUAAGACGUCGCCCUGCCAACCCGCUAACCCGGGUUCAAAUCCCGGCCAGCGCA